rnacentral:lncRNA from 1 species
UCCCAAACCUGUAGCCGCCGAACGCCUGCGCAGCAGGCAAGAGGGUGGGAGCCCCUGAACGAAUUCCUCCGAUUAGCUGGCAAGAACGCAAGAAAUCAUCACGGAACUUCGGUUCGGCUGAAACUGAUCCGCACCUGAGAGAAGUGCCGCCGCUUCGGCGAGGCUUCCCGGAGACGCGCAGAUCGGCGGGCGCGCGGAGAUGGUCGCCGCGGUAGAGCUCGUCCCCGGCGCGGUAUCACCCGCCUCGCGCUCCUCGUCGGUGGCCGUGGUCUCCGCCGCGGAAUCAAGCUCCUCGGCUGUGGCCGCGGUCUCCGCCUCGCGCUCCUCGUCGGUGGCCGCGGUCUCCGACUCGCGCUCCUCGUUGGUGGCCGCGGUCUCCGCCGCGGCAUCAAGCUCCUCGGGCGUGGCCGCAGUCCCCGCCGCGGCAAGCCCCCGGCGCCCGUAGAGGGAAAGCGGCAGGCCGAUGGCGAUUGUUA